rnacentral:rRNA from 1 species
UGGGGAAUAUUGGACAAUGGGCGCAAGCCUGAUCCAGCAAUGCCGCGUGUGUGAAGAAGGCCUUCGGGUUGUAAAGCACUUUUAUCAGGAGCGAAACGCUGUCGGCUAAUACCCGGCGGAACUGACGGUACCUGAGGAAUAAGCACCGGCUAACUUCGUGCCAGCAGCCGCGGUAAUACGAAGGGUGCAAGCGUUAAUCGGAAUUACUGGGCGUAAAGCGUGCGUAGGCGGUUUCUUAAGUCUGCUGUGAAAUCCCCGGGCUCAACCUGGGAAUGGCAGUGGAUACUUGGAGGCUAGAGUGUGUCAGAGGGUGGUGGAAUUCCCGGUGUAGCGGUGAAAUGCGUAGAGAUCGGGAGGAACAUCAGUGGCGAAGGCGGCCACCUGGGACAACACUGACGCUGAGGCACGAAAGCGUGGGGAGCAAACAGGAUUAGAUACCCUGGUAGUCCACGCCCUAAACGAUGCGAACUGGAUGUUGGUCUCAACUCGGAGAUCAGUGUCGAAGCUAACGCGUUAAGUUCGCCGCCUGGGGAGUACGG